AGAGGAUCUGAGGGGCUGACACCCCCAACCCCCAAAGGGAGAGAUCAUCAUCAUCGGUGGUGCUUCAAUGCUAUAGCACACAAGGGGUCUGUCUCGAAAACCUGGGUCCAUGAUGCCAUGAAGUCAGGGUUCCACUCCUAAGCCCUGUCUUCGAGGAGGGACUUCAGCUCCCUCCCACUCAAGCCACAAAGGAAAGGUUACCCCAGAGGAUACUAUAGCGAAUCGGACAGGAGGCUGGAGACCGGAAGCCAGGCUGAUGUCCAGGGGACAUGGGUUUGAGCCCUGGUCCAGGAAGAUCCCGCAUGCCGCAGAGCAACUAAGCCCGCGAGCCACAACUACUGAGCCCACGCACCACAGCUACUGAAGCCUGCGCGCCUAGAACCCUCAACAAGAGAAGCCACCGCCAUGAGAAGCCUGCGCAUCGCAACAAAGAGUAGUCCUGCUCGCCGCAGCUAGAGAAAGCCCGUGCGCAGCAACGAAGACCCAACACA